rnacentral:rRNA from 1 species
GGAAAGGCGAAAAGAACCCCGGCGAGGGGAGUGAAAAAGAACCUGAAACCGUGUACGUACAAGCAGUAGGAGCCCCAUCACUCAAGUGCCUCGCACUGAGUGAUGCAAUAACAUCACCGAAAAUAGCGCCGAAUUUGCUAACAAGGUUGGUCGAUUUUUUCAAGCCGUCGCGCAGUGUACCUAGAAGUACACGAGCAACGGAAGUUAAAAAAUCGGGCAAGAAUGAACGCAAAGGCAAGCGGGACAUUUGAGGAUGGGGUGACUGCGUACCUUUUGUAUAAUGGGUCAGCGACUUAUAUUCUGUAGCAAGGUUAACCG